GCGUGAGUGAUGAAGGUUUUCGGAUCGUAAAGCUCUGUCAGAGGGGAAGAAACCCUCGUCGGAUAACACCCGACGAGACUGACGGUACCCUCAAAGGAAGCACCGGCUAACUCCGUGCCAGCAGCCGCGGUAAUACGGAGGGUGCAAGCGUUGUUCGGAAUUAUUGGGCGUAAAGCGCGUGUAGGCGGUCUGUUAAGUCUGGUGUGAAAGCCCGGGGCUCAACCCCGGAAGUGCAUUGGAUACUGGCAGACUUGAGUACGGGAGAGGAAAGUGGAAUUCCGAGUGUAGGGGUGAAAUCCGU
rnacentral:rRNA from 1 species